AACGAACGCUGGCGGCAUGCCUAACACAUGCAAGUCGAACGAGACCUUCGGGUCUAGUGGCGCACGGGUGCGUAACGCGUGGGAACCUGCCCUUAGGUUCGGAAUAACUCCCCGAAAGGGGUGCUAAUACCGGAUAAUGUCUUCGGACCAAAGAUUGAUCGCUUUUGGAGGGGCCCGCGUUGGAUUAGCUAGUUGUUAGGGUAAAAGCCUACCAAGGCGACGAUCAAUAGCUGGUAUGAGAGGAUGAUCAGCCACACUGGGACUGAGACACGGCCCAGACUCCUACGGGAGGCAGCAGUGGGGAAUAUUGGACAAUGGGCGAAAGCCUGAUCCAGCAAUGCCGCGUGAGUGAUGAAGGCCUUAGGGUUGUAAAGCUCUUUUACCCGGGAUGAUAAUGGCAGUACCGGGAGAAUAAGCUCCGGCUAACUCCGUG
rnacentral:rRNA from 1 species